CAGUCUCUUUUCGCAGAGACGUGGCUCUGCCUCUUUCUCAGAGACAUGGCUCUGUCUCUCUUGUGGAGAUGUGGCUCUUGCUCUGGCUGGUGUGGCUCAUGGCAGUGUGCUGGGUGUCCUGGGAGAAGCUCUGUAGCAUGGUUUAGAAUAAUCAAGUUGAAUAAAAGAAAACCAGCAAUAGAUUCAUGUUUUUAACCAUUUGGUGGAAAGGAGACUGACAUAUACCCUGAAGGGUUGAAGGUUAUCAUGAGGAAGAAAAGGAUUUGCUAAGUGGUGUGAAGAAAACUUCAGAGAACAAGAGUAACUUUCCUGUAACAAAGUGUUUUCAAUAUCCUUAAGUACUUUAUAGGCACCCUUUUAUAUUCAAGUAAUUUAUAUAUAAAUUACAAAUCAUUAAAUGG
rnacentral:lncRNA from 1 species